AGAUAAACAUCAAGAAACUAAAGCUCUUCCUGGAGAGGAUUUAUCUGGACAGGAAUGCUGCGUGAAUGGUGCAAACGGCAACAUGUUCUGUGAUCAGUGGCCCAAAUUCUGAUUUACCUAGAGUGGCUGGGUGACUUUUCCAGCAUCUAUCCGUACACAAUUCACAUACCCUGAAGGUGGAACGGACUAUGCCAGUGCUGGAAAAGAAGGUGGUUGAAGAAAUUUCUGAAUGG